rnacentral:lncRNA from 1 species
UGCAAUUUUUAAGUUCUCUAAUUAUUUUUUAGAUUUAAAUACUUAUAAAAUCAUUUAAAUAGUUAUGAAAACAACUACUGUUCUUAUAUAAACAUCUAUUGAAAUAUUUUGUUGGCGUUCCAGGAAUAGGUUACUUAUAAAAUGUUGGCAUUCAAGGAAGACACCUGUGAAUUACCUUUACAUUAUUAUGCAAAUGAGUUUAGUCCGGGUAGAUUUCCCGCUAGUCAUGCACGCUUGGUUAUUGUUUUUGUUUUACGGGUAGAUAGUUAUCUAGUUAGUUCGCUGCUGAAAGUUGACGGGGUUGGAUGUUCUUUUGUAUUGAAGAUUUGUCCAAAGUCAUGUGGUUGUUAUAGUUGAAAAUAUCAGGUAUGUGUAGGAUAAUUUCUAUUGUCGGGUUUCUGUAUUUUUCGGUUUGAUAUAGUCCAUAUAGCGCGCAUUUGUCAAAUUAGUUCUAAUAAUGCGGAAUUCGCUAUUAUUGUUAAACUAACACUUUAUUGCAUGCAUGUUCCUUAUUUUUACAGUGAAUGUACAUCCUUGACGCACAAGUAUGAGUGGUCAGUGAGCCUUAAAUCCAUAAUUUUGGUAUGUGUAUAUUAAUGUUUUAUAAAAACAUAAUAUUUUAGCGUGAGCGUAUUUUUUCCAUAUUUCGGGUGAAA